GACGAACGCUGGCGGCGUGCUUAACACAUGCAAGUCGAACGGAAAGGCCCUGCUUGCCGGGUACUCGAGUGGCGAACGGGUGAGUAACACGUGGGUGAUCUGCCCUGCACUUCGGGAUAAGCCUGGGAAACUGGGUCUAAUACCGGAUAGGAGCCAUUUUUAUUGUGAUGGUUGGAAAGUUUUUUCGGUGUAGGAUGAGCUCGCGGCCUAUCAGCUUGUUGGUGGGGUAAUGGCCUACCAAGGCGGCGACGGGUAGCCGGCCUGAGAGGGUGGACGGCCACAUUGGGACUGAGAUACGGCCCAGAAUCCGACGGGAGGCAGCAGGGGGGAAUAUUGCACAAUGGGCGCAAGCCUGAUGCAGCGACGCCGCGGGGGGGAUGACGGCCUUCGGGUUGUAAACUCCUUUCGCUGGGGACGAAGCUUUUUGUGACGGUACCUAGAGAAGAAGCACCGGCUAACUACGUG
rnacentral:rRNA from 1 species